rnacentral:rRNA from 1 species
GACGUAGGGUCCAAGCGUUGUCCGGAUUUACUGGGCGUAAAGAGCGCGUAGGCGGUCUGUUAAGUGUAGAGUGAAAUCUCCAGGGCUCAACCCGGAAACUGCUCUGCAUACUGGCAGACUGGAGGGAUGCAGAGGUUUGUGGAAUUCCUGGGUGUAGCGGUGAAAUGCGUUGAUAUCAGGAGGAACACCCAUGGCGAAGGCAGCAAACUGGGCAUCAUCUGACGCUG